UACGGAGGGUGCAAGCGUUAUCCGGAUUCACUGGGUUUAAAGGGUGCGUAGGCGGGCAGGUAAGUCAGUGGUGAAAUCCCUGAGCUUAACUUGGGAACUGCCGUUGAUACUAUCUGUCUUGAAUAUCGUGGAGGUGAGCGGAAUAUGUCAUGUAGCGGUGAAAUGCUUAGAUAUGACAUAGAACACCAAUUGCGAAGGCAGCUCACUACGCGAUUAUUGACGCUGAGGCGCGAAAGCGUGGGUAGCAAACAGG
rnacentral:rRNA from 1 species